rnacentral:rRNA from 1 species
GUCCACGCCGUAAACGAUGAAUGCUAGCCGUUGGCGGGUUUACCCGUCAGUGGCGCAGCUAACUCUUUAAGCAUUCCGCCUGGGGAGUACGGUCGCAAGAUUAAAACUCAAAGGAAUUGACGGGGGCCCGCACAAGCGGUGGAGCAUGUGGUUCAAUUCGACGCAACGCGAAGAACCUUACCGGCUCUUGACAUGUCCCGUAUGGGUUUCAGAGAUGAGAUCCUUCAGUUCGGCUGGCGGGAACACAGGUGCUGCAUGGCUGUCGU